rnacentral:rRNA from 1 species
GACGAACGCUGGCGGCGUGCUUAACACAUGCAAGUCGAACGGAAAGGCCCUGCUUUUGUGGGGUGCUCGAGUGGCGAACGGGUGAGUAACACGUGAGUAACCUGCCCUUGACUUUGGGAUAGCUUCAGGAAACUGGGGCUAAUAACGGAUAGGAGCUCCUGCUGCAUGGUGGGGGUUGGAAAGUUUCGGCGGUUGGGGAUGGACUCGCGGCUUAUCAGCUUGUUGGUGGGGUAGUGGCUUACCAAGGCUUUGACGGGUAGCCGGCCUGAGAGGGUGACCGGCCACAUUGGGACUGAGAUACGGCCCAGACUCCUACGGGAGGCAGCAGUGGGGAAUAUUGCACAAUGGGCCGAAGCCUGAUGCAGCAACGCCGCGUGCGGGAUGACGGCCUUCGGGUUGUAAACCGCUUUCGCCUGUGACGAAGCGUGAGUGACGGUAAUGGGUAAAGAAGCACCGGCUAACUACGUG